GGCUGGUCCCAAGGUAGUGAAUUAUCUCCAUUGAUUGUUCACUGUCAGGUACAGAUCAAACUCCUGUUCUACUCUUUUUCCCCUUCUCACUAUUGCCCUUGGCAAGAGUUAA
rnacentral:Y_RNA from 1 species